UGGAGUGUGACAAUGGUGUUUGUAAUCACUGACAUCAAACGCCAUUAUCACACUAAAUA
rnacentral:pre_miRNA from 1 species